UGGGGAAUAUUGGACAAUGGGCGAAAGCCUGAUCCAGCCAUGCCGCGUGUGUGAAGAAGGUCUUCGGAUUGUAAAGCACUUUAAGUUGGGAGGAAGGGCAGUAAGCGAAUACCUUGCUGUUUUGACGUUACCGACAGAAUAAGCACCGGCUAACUCUGUGCCAGCAGCCGCGGUAAUACAGAGGGUGCGAGCGUUAAUCGGAUUUACUGGGCGUAAAGCGUGCGUAGGCGGCUAAUUGAGUCGGAUGUGAAAUCCCCGAGCUUAACUUGGGAAUUGCAUUCGAUACUGGUUAGCUAGAGUGUGGGAGAGGAUGGUAGAAUUCCAGGUGUGGCGGUGAAAUGCGUAGAGAUCUGGAGGAAUACCGAUGGCGAAGGCAGCCAUCUGGGCUAACACUGACGCUGAGGUACGAAAGCAUGGGGAGCAAACAGG
rnacentral:rRNA from 1 species